AGGGGCAGAGAGAGAGAGAGACACAGAAUCUGAAGAGGCUCCAGGCUCUGAGCUGUCAGCACAGAGCCCGACGCGGGGCUCGAACGCACAAACCAUGAGAUCAUGACCUGAGCCGAAGUCAGAUGCCUAACCGACUGAGCCACCCAGGUGCCCCUAGUCAACUGUAGUUCUAACAGGUUGGGGGGUCACCCUUAGGAAUCAGCAACAUUGGUAGAGCAUGUGCACAUGUGACCUUUUAUCACAGAUGACACUCUACUCAGCUCACAAUAACUCCAAGGUGACAGCUCAGACUAGACUCUCUUGCUACUUUCCUUCAUUAUGAGCAGGGUGUCAGUUGUAGCUUAAAGCUGCAGGAUUGUUUCCGCACGAGAGCAUCGGCCUGUAACAUCUGCAACCAGGAUGCCUUCUUUCUACCUGAGAACCCUGGCUUCUAAUGAGAAAGGAAGUUGGAUGGAGCUCAUCUGGUAACAUGCCUUUGGAAAGAAUUGUUUGAAGGAGGCCGAAAAAACAAGAAAACCUAGUGAAUCCCAAUUUCUUGAAGGUGUCCGAUGUUCUGAUGCAGUGGUGCUCAGAAAAAGAUGCUGUAAUUCUUGUAGAUAUACACAGGUUUUUCAAAGGACUGUACUCAUCUUCAGGACAAUUACUGGCAAUAAGAGAUGUCUUAUUAGGAGGAAUAAAAGAAAAUUGUCGAACAGAAAAAGAAAAAAAAAUUGGAAGUGAUUCAGCCUUUCCAGAAAAGUCAAGACCUUGUCUGACAGCGAUCUCUACUAUCAUAACCUGAAAGUGCUUAAGACCCUUACGGUAGAAGAAUAUUGCAAUGACUACACAGCAUAAAGCCUAUGUUUAGUGUCAAUUACGUCCAACUACUGUUGGUCUUAAAUUUUUCGUUUCUUAAUGAA